GAUGAACGCUAGCGGCAGGCCUAAUACAUGCAAGUCGAACGGUGUCUUCGGACAUAGUGGCGCACGGGUGCGUAACACGUAUGCAACCUACCUUACAUUGGGGGAUAGCCUUCCGAAAGGGAGAUUAAUACCGCAUAAGACAGUAGCUGGGCAUCCAGCAGCUGUUAAAGAUUUAUCGAUGUAAGCUGGGCAUGCGUCCAAUUAGCUAGUUGGUGAGGUAACGGCUCACCAAGGCAAUGAUUGGUAGGGGAACUGAGAGGUCAAUCCCCCACACUGGCACUGAGAUACGGGCCAGACUCCUACGGGAGGCAGCAGUAGGGAAUAUUGGGCAAUGGACGCAAGUCUGACCCAACCAUGCCGCGUGCAGGAUGAAGGCGUUAUGCGUUGUAAACUGCUUUUAUACAGGAAGAAACGACUCUUGCGAGGGGCAUUGACGGUACUGUAUGAAUAAGCACCGGCUAACCCCGUGCCAGCCGCCGCAGUAAAAC
rnacentral:rRNA from 1 species